rnacentral:tRNA from 1 species
UUGGAGGCAUGGAAGAGCUUCCCCUGGGAUUUGUCGUCCCAGAAUUUAGAAACAAGUUCAAUGGGAAAUGUUCAACCUAUUAGUCUCCAGA